AGACCCGAAACCCGGUGAUCUAGCCAUGGGCAGGUUGAAGGUUGGGUAACACUAACUGGAGGACCGAACCGACUAAUGUUGAAAAAUUAGCGGAUGACCUGUGGCUGGGGGUGAAAGGCCAAUCAAACCGGGAGAUAGCUGGUUCUCCCCGAAAGCUAUUUAGGUAGCGCCUCGUGAAUUCAUCUCCGGGGGUAGAGCACUGUUUCGGCUAGGGGGCCAUCCCGGCUUACCAACCCGAUGCAAACUGCGAAUACCGGAGAAUGUUAUCACGGGAGACACACGGCGGGUGCUAACGUCCGUCGUGAAGAGGGAAACAACCCAGACCGCCAGCUAAGGUCCCAAAGUCAUGGUUAAGUGGGAAACGAUGUGGGAAGGCCCAGACAGCCAGGAUGUUGGCUUAGAAGCAGCCAUCAUUUAAAGAAAGCGUAAUAGCUCACUGGUCGAGUCGGCCUGCGCGGAAGAUGUAACGGGGCUAAACCAUGCACCGAAGCUGCGGCAGCGACACUCAGGUGUUGUUGGGUAGGGGAGCGUUCUGUAAGCCUGUGAAGGUGGCCUGUGAGGGUU
rnacentral:rRNA from 1 species